rnacentral:rRNA from 1 species
UGAAUUGCAGUCGCUGCCCACAGAGACGUGGGCUUCCCUUCGGGGCGUCUGUGAAGGUGCUGCAUGGUUGUCGUCAGCUCGUGCCGUGAGGUGUCGGCUUAAGUGCCAUAACGAGCGCAACCCCUUUCCCAGUUGCCAUCGGGUUAUGCCGGGCACUCUGGGACACUGCCACCGAAGGUGCGAGGAAGGUGGGGAUGACGUCAAAUCAGCACGGCCCUUACAUCCGGGGCUACACACGUGUUACAAUGGCCGGUACAGAGGGACGGUGCAAUGCAAGUUGCAUCNAANUCUUAAAUCCGGUCCCAGUUCGGACGGGGUCUGCAACCCGACCCCACGAAGCUGGAUUCGCUAGUAAUCGCGCAUCAGC